GGCAAGGGGCGGGUGCUAUACAUGCGUCGAGCGGACAGAAGGGAGCUUGCUCCCGGAUGUUAGCGGCGGACGGGUGAGUAACACGUGGGUAACCUGCCUGUAAGACUGGGAUAACUCCGGGAAACCGGAGCUAAUACCGGAUAGUUCCUUGAACCGCAUGGUUCAAGGAUGAAAGACGGUUUCGGCUGUCACUUACAGAUGGACCCGCGGCGCAUUAGCUAGUUGGUGAGGUAACGGCUCACCAAGGCGACGAGCGUAGCCGACCUGAGAGGGUGAUCGGCCACACUGGGACUGAGACACGGCCCAGACUCCUACGGGAGGCAGCAGUAGGGAAUCUUCCGCAAUGGACGAAAGUCUGACGGAGCAACGCCGCGUGAGUGAUGAAGGUUUUCGGAUCGUAAAGCUCUGUUGUUAGGGAAGAACAAGUGCAAGAGUAACUGCUUGCACCUUGACGGUACCUAACCAGAAAGCCACGGCUAACUACGUGCCAGCAGCCGCGGUAAUACGUAGGUGGCAAGCGUUGUCCGGAAUUAUUGGGCGUAAAGGGCUCGCAGGCGGUUUCUUAAGUCUGAUGUGAAAGCCCCCGGCUCAACCGGGGAGGGUCAUUGGAAACUGGGAAACUUGAGUGCAGAAGAGGAGAGUGGAAUUCCACGUGUAGCGGUGAAAUGCGUAGAGAUGUGGAGGAACACCAGUGGCGAAGGCGACUCUCUGGUCUGUAACUGACGCUGAGGAGCGAAAGCGUGGGGAGCGAACAGGAUUAGAUACCCUGGUAGUCCACGCCGUAAACGAUGAGUGCUAAGUGUUAGGGGGUUUCCGCCCCUUAGUGCUGCAGCUAACGCAUUAAGCACUCCGCCUGGGGAGUACGGUCGCAAGACUGAAACUCAAAGGAAUUGACGGGGGCCCGCACAAGCGGUGGAGCAUGUGGUUUAAUUCGAA
rnacentral:rRNA from 1 species